rnacentral:rRNA from 1 species
UACGAAGGGGGCUAGCGUUGUUCGGAAUUACUGGGCGUAAAGGGCGCGUGGGCGGUCCGGAUCGUCGGUUGUGAAAGGCCUGGGCUCAACCUGGGAACUGCAUCCGAUACGGCGGGACUGGAGUGUGGGAGAGGUUGGUGGAAUUCCCAGUGUAGAGGUGAAAUUCGUAGAUAUUGGGAAGAACACCGGUGGCGAAGGCGGCCAACUGGACCACAACUGACGCUGAGGCGCGAAAGCGUGGGGAGCAAACAGG